AUGGAGGGGACUUUUUCUCUGGAGAGUGGUCCAAAGGAUACUGCAGAGAGAGUCUGGGUAAGAGGCAUGAAUGAUAUCACCAAGGACAUAAAGGAUCAGAAGAGGAGGUGGGUCAGUCAUGAGGGGACCUAUAGAGUGAGGGAUUGGCAAACGGGCAGCUCCAAUGUUUCCUUCAUGAAAUAUCUAAUUUUUAUCUUUUUUUUUUGUUUUUACAUUCCCAGUGGUAUUUCUCCCUAUUCUCAUCCCUUUCAAUUUAUCAGCUUUCAUAAAGAAAGGAGGAGGAAGAAAAUUGGUUCAGCAAGACCACCAGUAGGUCAACCAAAUCUGCUGGUUAUUUUCCCAUCUCUUCUUCUGGCCCAAGCUGGGUUAUUGCAAUUACAAGGUGUUCAGUUAAUGUUUUUCUUUCUUCUUUCCUUUUUCUUCCUUUCCUUUCUUCCUUCUUUCUUUUCCUUCCUUCUUCCCUCCCUUCAUUCCUCUCCUUUCCUUCUUCCCUUCUCUCCUCCCUUCUCUCAUUCUUCCUUUCCCUCCUCCCUUCUUCCCUCUUUCUUCCCUCCCUUCCUCCUUUCUUUCCUUCUUCUCUUCUCUCCUGCCUUCUUCCCUUCCCUCCUUUCUUCUUUCCUUCUUCCCUUCUCUCCUUCCUUCUUCCCCUUUCUCCUCCCUUCUCUCAUUCUUCCCUUCCCUCCUCCCUUCUUCCCUCCCUUACUCCUUUCUUUCCUUCUUCCCUUCCCCUCUCCCUUCCUUCUUCCCUUCCCUCCUUUCUUCUUCCUUCCUUCUUCCCUCCCCUCCUUCCCUCAUUCCUUUCAUCUCUCCCUCUUUCCUUCCUUCCAUUUAUAUUGUUGUCAUCAUUGUAUAUAUUGUAUUUCAGGUUCCAUUUGCUUACUCUGUAUCAAUUCAUGUAAUUACUAUAUAUCCAUUCAUAUAAGUCUCCCCAUAUCUUUCUGUAUCUUGAUAUUCAUUAUUCCUUCGGGUGAGAUUUUGCUUUAUUUUAUUUUGUAUUAUAUUAUUCACAUUAUAUACUUACACAUUACAUUAACGUAG
rnacentral:lncRNA from 1 species